ACAUAAGUUGGGCAAACCCGGCGAAAGCCGGGGACGCAAAGCCAUGGGUCUAAGGACAUUGGGUGUCUAUGAUCGCCAGGUUGCCAAU
rfam:Thermosinus carboxydivorans Nor1 ctg43, whole genome shotgun sequence.